UUCCUGAUCUGAACCACCAAUAUCCAAAGAAGUCAUAAAGAAUGUACUAGAACUCCUGGGCAACAAGGAUCCAAUGACAGCAAAGAACUUAAUCAAUAUGAGUAAAGGGAAAGUACUGGAGAAAUUAAAGGGACUAAAAGCCAACAAAUCUAUCUCCUGGACCAGAUAGACGACUGCAUCCUAGAGCUGAAAGGAAAAUGGCUGUACUGAUAACAGGUGCAUCACUGGUAAUCUUCCAAAGUUCCCUGGAAUAUGGAUUAGAAAGUGACACGCGUUACACGACUACUUGUGAAAGGACGGAGAAAGAAAACUGAGAACUUCAGGCCAGUCAGCUGUCAUGAAAAUACUAGAAUCUGUUAUUAAAGAGUUGGGCCAACAGGACCUGGAGCACCAGGGGCACCAGGAGCACCAGGGGCACCAGCAGGACCAGUCUGACCUCGCUCACCCUGUUAGGAAGAAACACAAAGUCAUCACCAACCAUUCACCAAUCAACAGAAG